rnacentral:sRNA from 1 species
AGUAAGUGGUCGUAUUGUUUAUGACCGAAUGUAUGUUCGGAAUAUUCCAUAAAGGCAUCUUCCCCACAUCCCUUCUUCAUGAUCUUCACGCACACGCAUUAUUAAUUAGUUUAAGGUAAAAAUUUUAUGAAUACUGGUAUUGUAAAGUGGUUUGACGCCGUUAAGGGUUUUGGUUUUAUCUCUCCCGAAGAUGGCAGCAAGGAUGUCUUUGUGCAUCAUUCAGCGAUUCAGGGCAAUGAUGGCUACAAGAGCCUGAGUGAAGGCCAGAGGGUCAGCUUCGAAGUAAAUAGUGGCCCCAAAGGCCCGGCAGCAACCAAUGUGGUCGCCGCGUAAGAUAUAACUGCUCUAGCAGCUUACAACGAAACCCCGCUACAUAGCGGGGUUUCUUUU